AGCAUUUGCGUUAUACCAUUUAGGAAAUGGAGGCAACAUUGGCUUCUGGUAGAAAGAGGACACCACAUGUGCAUUAAAUAGGCUUUGAUAUAGCUUGCUAUAUGAUAUCGGUAUAGGCGUGAACUGAAGCCUUUCUGCAUUUACCUUCGUGUAAGAUUCUUGCUUUAAAGGGCUCUGAUGGUUGGUGGUUUCUGUCUGUGACCGACCCACAGUGAUUGGUUUUGAGUGGCCCUUGUUAUAUCUGCCUUCAUUAUUCCCCUUAUUCCCCU
rnacentral:lncRNA from 1 species